CCCUAGCCCAGAUAGGAGCGGCAUCCUGUUAUGGCGGGGUUCGCCAUAAAAGAUAUAGCAUAUAGCUGGAACUAGC
rnacentral:sRNA from 1 species